ACGGGAGGCAGCAGUGAGGAAUAUUGGUCAAUGGGCGGAAGCCUGAACCAGCCAAGUAGCGUGCAGGAUGACGGCCCUAUGGGUUGUAAACUGCUUUUGUCAGGGAAUAAAAAGGAUUACGUGUAAUCCAUUGCAUGUACCUGAAGAAUAAGGACCGGCUAAUUCCGUGCCGGCAGCCGCGGUAAUACGGAAGGUCCGGGCGUUAUCCGGAUUUAUUGGGUUUAAAGGGAGCGCAGGCGGCCUUUUAAGCGUGUUGUGAAAUGUAGGGGCUCAACCUCUGCACUGCAGCGCGAACUGGAGGGCUUGAGUACGCGGGAAGUAGGCGGAAUUCGACGUGUAGCGGUGAAAUGCUUAGAUAUGUCGAAGAACUCCGAUUGCGAAGGCAGCUGACUGUAGCGUAACUGACGCUGAAGCUCGAAAGUGUGGGUAUCGAACAGGAUUAGAUACCCUGGUA
rnacentral:rRNA from 1 species